CUUCGGAGCUAGUGGCGGACGGGUGAGUAACGCGUGAGAAUCUGCCUCCAGGUCUGGGACAACAGAAGGAAACUUCUGCUAAUCCCGGAUGAGCCCUUGGGUAAAAGAUAUAUAUUGCCUGGAGAUGAGCUCGCGUCUGAUUAGCUAGUUGGUGUGAUAAAAGCAUACCAAGGCAACGAUCAGUAGCUGGUCUGAGAGGAUGACCAGCCACACUGGGACUGAGACACGGCCCAGACUCCUACGGGAGGCAGCAGUGGGGAAUUUUCCGCAAUGGGCGAAAGCCUGACGGAACAAGACCGCGUGGGGGAGGAAAGCUCUAGGGUUGUAAACCCCUUUUCUUUGGGAAGAAG
rnacentral:rRNA from 1 species